GCCCAUAUAUGAUCUUCAGCAUAUGGCCAGCUAAACAACUUGAUAUAGCUAAAAAAUUCUAAGAACCAAGGUUUCGAAAAAGCUCUGGAAGAUGUGCAUUUGUCAGCUUAGUCCUCUUGCUGAUCUCAUGUUUCUUCUUCUUUAUCUUUGGCUUGGAGGAAAUGCCCUGCACCUGGGCUGCAGCCCUCCUCUUUGCCGUGUUUGUGGCAGGUUU
rnacentral:misc_RNA from 1 species